UGGUCACAAUGAGACUGAGCUGUGAGGUGUACAGUAGCAUCCACCAUGGGUUAGGUUCUAGAGCUGCUCACAGUCGUCUAAGACUGGUGUUUCCCAGUUGAGGGAGAAGGGAGAUCCAGACUCGGGAGGCUUUUUUCAGAUCUCACGUACUCUCCCGAAUUCGAUCAAGCCUCUUGUGAAGAACUUGUCUGAGGUUCGGAUACCCAGCGCUCACUAGAAUCGUCUGGGGAACUUUUAAAAAUGCCUCAGUCCCACUCCUCAGCUUUUGAUCUAAUUAGUGUAGUGGCAGGUCCCAGGAGCUACCAUCAAUAUAUUUAAAGCUCUGAAGUGUUUCUAAUUUGCAGAAUUGAGAAGCACUGUGAUACACCUUCCCUUUGGUGAGAACUAUGGCGAGAAUCACUGCCGUGUGAAGUAUUCACAAAUGACUCAGAGUCCUCUGUUGCUUUGGAGAGACAAGGGAAAAAAAAAAAAAAGAGUUACUGAUCAACCUCCUGUUUGAGAUAAGGGGGGGGUGCCUUUCUGAUGUGAGGAGCUUGGAGCAUCGUGUGCCUCAGCCCUUGCCCGUCUGGUGGGAGCUGGGGGUCUUUAGUUCACUGGAGCAGUUGGUGUCGCGUGGGGCUUGCCUCCUUCCCACAGCCUCUCCGCCGGAGGCCACAGCAGGGCCAGACCUUGGCAGGGAGCAGGACGGUCACUUUGAGUUAGAAAAUGCUAAAGUAAAGCCUCCAGUGGCUUUGCAAAACCUGUCCCUGAUUCUGAUAGACCAUGGUCACCUGUAAUAGUUAUAGUAGCAAACCUGAGGCUGCUGCCCAAUUUCCUGUUAAGGAAUAUUUAGCUCACUCUCUCACUAUCCAGAAUGUAGUUUCAGGAUUUUUUUUUUUUUUUUAAUGAAUGUGAAGCAUUUUAUUUGGGUUUUUUUGGGGGGUGGGUGGGUGAGUAACCCUCAGUAUUUUUUUCAUGUAACUAAAAAAAUGAAUAUGCAUCCAAAAAUUUGGCAGUACAUGUUACCUAUGGAGGCGAAUGAAAUUUAGUUUUAAUCUGUGGUGGGCUGAAUGCACUAUGAAUAUAUUCAAAAUAAGCUGCUGUGCUUCUCAGGUGGUUUCUUCCUGUUAAGCAUGAUUUUGCCUACAGAAAAAGAAAACACAGUUUACUGGAGGUUUUCAACAUUUCAAGGAAUAAGUUAGAAGUAAAAACCCAAGUUGGAAAUGCUCCUUUAGAAAGGCUGCUCUGAGCAGUGAUACCUGUUGUAAUGGUGAAAAUGCAAUAUGAAAUCCCCUAGGUGCUAUUCUAAAUGGUGAGGUGUCAUUAUACCAAAUGGGAAGCAGUUACUGUGUUUCUGGAGCUGAAGUUCUCUUUGUAGGCCUUUCAAAUAUGCAUUUAUGUUCCCUUUGGUUUUGCUCACCAACUGUGCCUCUCACCACUGGUUAAAAUUGAAUUCAAGCCCCAUUACAAAAGCAGUUUCUUGAUUGAACUCUUAAGUUUUUACAGUGGAAUUUCUAUAGUUGUCUUAAAAGCUGCAUGUCAUAUCACUGUAUAACAAAAUGCUUUGGUGGUGGUCAUGCACCAUUCAUAGUGAUUUGUGUAUGAUUUUCUUUUUUAGUUGUACAGUAAUAUGGAAGGCAGGAUGUCUUUCCUUGAGGCUGGAAACAAAGUGUAUCAUACAUUUUAAAUUAUUUUAGAACAAGUGCAUGAGAUGUGUCACUGACUUCUGUUAUUUAUUUGUAUGUUUUAUUAUUCAAAGUGUAUGCACUUUUAAGAAGCAAAAUUUAUAUUUUUAUGUUUAAAAUGUUUUAUUUCUGGAACAGCAGUUGAUUAUAUAGUAUACAGUUGGAAUUUAAGAGAAAAGUGGAAAAAUGUAAUGAAAUAUAAUAAAUUUAUUACAUGAUGCCCUC
ensembl:lncRNA